GGAGAAGGCCACGGGGACAAUCGGGGGAGCCGUAAAAGCCUGAGCCUCUCUUGGUGCUUUGUGAGUGCGGCCAGCGUUCCGGGCGUUACAUUUGGAGGUUCCACCGAGAUUGCUGCAGCCGCCUUCAGGCUCCAACAGACGCUUCUUGGGGUUAAAGGCUCUGGAAGGGAUCCAGUAAUUUGUCUGAAUGGAAGCCGUUGGCCUCCGCUUAUCAACCAGGAGACCUUAAGGUGCCCCACUCAUUCCGAGUCGGAGACUCGGUACUCAUAAGAAGACACCAGACUCACAGCCUAGAGCCCCGGUGGAAAGGACCCUACGUGGUGCUGCCGACCACCCCGACAGCAGUAAAAGUAGAUGACAUCACGUCUUGGA